rnacentral:snRNA from 1 species
CUGGUUUCUCUUCAGAUCAUACAGAUCUUUCACCUUUUACUAAAGAUUUCCAUGGAGAGGAUGUUAUAAG